ACUCAAAGGAAUUGACGGGGGCCCGCACAACCGGUGGAGUAUGUGGUUUAAUUUGAAGCAACGCGAAGAACCUUACCAGACCUUGACAUAGGGUGCGAAGGUAUAGAGAUAUACUGGAGGUAAACAUCCAUACAGGUGGUGCAUGGUUGUCGUCAGCUCGUGUCGUGAGAUGUUCAGUUAAGUCUGGCAACGAGCGCAACCCUCGUGAUGUGUUACCAAUAUCGAGUUAGGGACUCACAUCAGACUGCCGGUGAGAAACCGGAGGAAGGCGGGGAUGACGUCAAAUCAUCAUGCCCCUUAUGGCCUGGGCUACACACGUACUACAAUGGCGGCGACAGAGGGCAGCGAGCCUGCGAAGGCAAGCGAAUCCCCAAAAAGCCGUCCCAGUUCGGAUUGGAGUCUGCAACCCGACUCCAUGAAGUUGGAAUCGCUAGU
rnacentral:rRNA from 1 species